UGAGGUCCUCUGCCGGCUUGGGCGCCACAGCUGCCAAAAGAUGAAACACCACCGCGGUGUGGACCUUCAGGGUUACGCUGGCCCCACUCUUCUUCCAAAGGACGCAUCAACCGCCUUGUUUGGGCUUCAGGUUCCUUGUCAGUUCAUCCAACACCAGGCCACCCGGCCCUGGAGCUCCUUCGCCAGGAUUCCGAGACACCACCCAGCUCUCUAUUACCAACAAAUGACUCCAGCUGUUUGCAGGGCUGCUUGGUUUGAACAAGUACGUGACCUUGAUUCUCUCUGGGCUUAUCUUCAAUCCACAGCGCAUCCCCGACUUUCAAGGCAGCCUGUAAUUUUUGUGUGUCCUCUUAUGUGAGUACUUCAAGGUCACAAUCACCGGCACACAGCAAUCAGCUCUCAAAUGACUGCCUUAAUGGAUGUUGUUUGCAGCUUAUCCUAACUAGAAUUUCUCUUAGGUCCAGCCUCAAGGCCUGAGGACCUCAGAUGCAAGCUAACAGGGACUAGUGUGCAACUGGAAAUAAGCAGACCUGGGCAAGAAGAACUCCCCAGCUCCAGGUCUAGACCUGAAUAAGCAUCUCCAGCAGUCCAGACACCAACAUAAACAUCAAUGGAACAUCCCUCAGCACCUGGUGCUGCUUCCUUUAGACAAAAUCCAACGAGCUUAAUUAUGGGACUCUGGAGGCCUGAGAAAUUACAGAACAAAGUAGCUGCUGGAAGUAGACGAACUGACAGGAGCCAAGAGGAGGUCCGCUGGUGUCAAAGAAGGACACAGGAGAACAAAAUGAAGAUCUAAGAUCUGGGAAGCCAGAGCAACCUGGGACCACUUACAGAGGGGCAAACUGCCCAAUAAUCCUUGGGGACACGACUGCAUUAUGGCAAAAUACAAUACUUGACCUUAUGAGGACGACAGUGUAUCACCAAUACCAUCUUCUGGUACAAGCAAACCAUGUAUGAAGGAAGAAAACUCUACAAUCCAUUCAAGUAAUUUGAAUGGACAUUAUGCCAUGUUUAUGGUUAAGUAUAAA